rnacentral:lncRNA from 1 species
UAAAACUCUGACUAGUACCCAACUCAAUAAGUUACCUAAUCAAACUUAAAAUAUAACUUAUUGUACUUCUUAGAUUCCAAAAGUACCCCUCAUUACAGUUUAUAUUUCCUCAAUUAAUUGUGUUGAUUUCUUAUUAUAUUGUUAACUUAUUUUCAACUGAUUUGGUGUAAUUUAAUGUUUAUUUUUGCCAAAUUGGUGGCAUUUAAUGUUCUUAUUUGUUUCUUUUACAGUUAAUUUUGUUUCUUUGUCUUCUUUUGGAGUGGGUUUUUUUUUUUGGGCAAUAUAUUCAAUUUUCAUUAAUUCCAUCAAAUUCUUACCAAUUCUCUUUAAUUCAAUUUUCAUUUAUAGAUUAAUGUACUUAUUCUUUUAAGGAAAAUACUUCCCUCCUUCCCCUUUAAGUAGAACUCCUACAUUCCUGCCAAUGAAAGGAUGAUAUGUGUGCAUAAAUUUUUCUUUUUAUGUUUUU